rnacentral:snoRNA from 1 species
CCCCUCUCAAGAUCCCACCUGGAGAGUUUCCAAUACUCUACCAGUCUCAGCUAUGGGAGGGAGAGUCGAGUAGAGGCAUACCCAUUCCAUUCCUAGCUUGGGCAGUGGCUAGGGAAUGGGAGGCAAUCUGCUACAAGU